GAAAUGACUCUCGGCAACGGAUAUCUCGGCUCUCGCAUCGAUGAAGAACGCAGCGAAAUGCGAUACCUGGUGUGAAUUGCAGAAUCCCGUGAAUCAUUGAGUUUUUGAACGCAAGUUGCGCCCGAGUCCUUCGGGGCGAGGGCACGCCUGCCUGGGCGUCACG
rnacentral:rRNA from 1 species